GAGAGGGUGGGAAUUAUAUACGGAGGAAUAUAAUGGGAAUUGUGCUGGGGUAAAUGGACCAGCAUUGCCUUCCUUUUCUUAAAAAAAAAGGCCGUCUUUGCAUGCACGGUUAAAGCAAGACCCUGAGUUUAGGAGACUCCUUCAGAGUGCACCGUCUUUUUUACAAGGGGGAAAACAUUUACAGAUGGACUGUCAUUCUUCCAGUCCCACAGGCGGUAGAGGUUGUGCUGUGACUCUCUGCCUAGCCCCAGCCUGGGCAUAUUAUUUCAAGAAAAGCAAAAAGGUUCAGGGGGCAUAACCCCUUACCGGUCCCACCCCAGAGGAGGAGCAGUUGUUGAGCAGGGUGCCGUAUUUGCCAAGGGAUCUAUUUAAAAGGGGUUCCUGAUCCUCAGGUUCCCCCAUCACUUCCUCUUGCCAGGGGAAGCUGCUGCUGCUGCUGCUUUGAUUAAUAACAUUUCUUCUUUCUCUUUUUUUUUUCUCUUUCUCUCCCCCCCCUCCCCAAUGCACUUCAGGCAGGGGGGAGGGGGCAAAGAAUUCAAGACAGCCAGGGAAUAUCGAAAUGGAUAAGAAGAAGGGCAAGGGAGCACCAUUCCUCUGAUCCCAGACUCCAGCAACGCGGGCGCAAGGUGGCACAGAAGUCCAAAGAUAUUGGGAGCUAACAAUGGUAUACAAUACAUUUCAGACAAUGUUUCUUAUCUUGGGGACUUUAAAGUGUGUGACUUCAACUCCCAGAAUUCUUCAGCCAGAGAGCAAGAACAGCAACAGAGAAAAUAUAUCUCCCAGUUUUACAGAGAGAAGCCAGACAGAGAAGUAAAUCCCUUGUUC